UACGGAGGGUGCGAGCGUUAAUCGGAAUUACUGGGCGUAAAGCGCGCGUAGGCGGUCAGGCAAGUCGGGUGUGAAAGCCCUGGGCUCAACCUGGGAAUUGCAUUCGAAACUAUCUGACUCGAGUAUGGGAGAGGGAAGCGGAAUUUCCGGUGUAGCGGUGAAAUGCGUAGAUAUCGGAAGGAACACCUGUGGCGAAAGCGGCUCACUGGACCAUAACUGACGCUGAGGCGCGAAAGCUAGGGGAGCAAACAGG
rnacentral:rRNA from 1 species